rnacentral:rRNA from 1 species
UACGGAGGGUGCAAGCGUUAUCCGGAUUCACUGGGUUUAAAGGGUGCGUAGGCGGAUAGGGAAGUCCGUGGUGAAAUCCUGCAGCUUAACUGCAGAACUGCCGUGGAUACUCUCUAUCUUGAAUAUCGUGGAGGUUAGCGGAAUAUGUCAUGUAGCGGUGAAAUGCUUAGAGUAUGACAUAGAACACCUAUUGCGAAGGCAGCUAACUACGCGAAUAUUGACGCUGAGCACGAAAGCGUGGGGAUCAAACAG